GAUGAACGCUGGCGGCGUGCCUAAUACAUGCAAGUCGAGCGAACGGACGAGAAGCUUGCUUCUCUGAUGUUAGCGGCGGACGGGUGAGUAACACGUGGAUAACCUACCUAUAAGACUGGGAUAACUUCGGGAAACCGGAGCUAAUACCGGAUAAUAUUUUGAACCGCAUGGUUCAAAAGUGAAAGACGGUCUUGCUGUCACUUAUAGAUGGAUCCGCGCUGCAUUAGCUAGUUGGUAAGGUAACGGCUUACCAAGGCAACGAUGCAUAGCCGACCUGAGAGGGUGAUCGGCCACACUGGAACUGAGACACGGUCCAGACUCCUACGGGAGGCAGCAGUAGGGAAUCUUCCGCAAUGGGCGAAAGCCUGACGGAGCAACGCCGCGUGAGUGAUGAGGUCUUCGGAUCGUAAAACUCUGUUAUUAGGGAAGAACAUAUGUGUAAGUAACUGUGCACAUCUUGACGGUACCUAAUCAGAAAGCCACGGCUAACUACGUG
rnacentral:rRNA from 1 species